rnacentral:rRNA from 1 species
CCUACGUGUGGCAGCAGUGGGGGAUAUUGGACAAUGGGGGGAACCCUGAUGCAGCGACGCCGCGUGAGUGAAGAAGUAUUUCGGUAUGUAAAGCUCUGUCAGCAGGGAAGAAAGAAAUGACGGUACCUGACCAAGCAGCCCCGGCUAACUACGUGACAGCAGCCGCGGUAAUACGUAGGGGGCAAGCGGUAUCCGGUAUUACGGGGUGUAAAGGGAGCGUAGACGGUUAAGUAAGUCUGGAAUGAAAGGCCGGGGCUCAACCCCGGGACUGCUCUGGAAACUAUUGAACUUGAGUGCAGGGGAGGUGAGCGGAAUUCCUAGUGUAGCGGGGAAAUGCGUAGAUAUUAGGAGGAACACCAGUGGCGAAGGCGGCUUACUGGACUGUAACUGACGUUGAGGCUCGAAAGCGUGGGUAGCAAACAGGAUUAGAUACCCUGGUAGUC